rnacentral:rRNA from 1 species
AUUGAACGCUGGCGGCAGGCCUAACACAUGCAAGUCGAACGAGUGGCGGACGGGUGAGUAAUGUCUGGGAACCUGCCUGAUGGAGGGGGAUAACUACUGGAAACGGUAGCUAAUACCGCAUACCAUCGGAUGUGCCCAGAUGGGAUUAGCUAGUAGGGGGGGUCACGGCUCACCUAGGCGACGAUCCCUAGCUGGUCUGAGAGGAUGACCAGCCACAGUGGAACUGAGACACGGUCCAGACUCCGACGGGAGGCAGCAGUGGGGAAUAGUGGACAAUGGGCGCAAGGCUGAUGCAGCCAUGCCGCGUGUAUGAAGAAGGACUUCGGGUUGUAAAGUACUUUCAGCGGGGAGGCGUUACCCGCAGAAGAAGCACCGGCUAACUCCGUGCCAGCAGCCGCGGUAAUUC